AUGCUGGAUGAGGAGGACACUGACAAAGACGGGAUGAGUUUGGAGGUCGACACUCCAGUGACGAACCAUCGGGGUGACGACGACGAUGACGAAGAAGAUCUCCCCGAGAUAGUGCUGGAUGACGUGCCUGCGGUGAGGGUGGCGGGACGGCCUCCAUUCGCUCCGCGGGUGGCCUUCAUGGUGAACAAAACACAUGACCCCGAGUACCCGAGGCGGAAGGUGUCCGGCAUCAGUGCUCAGAAAGUUGUUCCACCUUCCACCAAGGUAAGGGCUUUUCACUUCUCUGAGGAAAAAGAAAAAGCAAAAAAAAAAAAACAAAAUAUAUAUAUAUGGCUUCAUUCCCUAGCUUUUCAAUCAAAUUCAACUCUGAAAGUCCAAAUCCGUGGAUACUUAGGGUUUUCCUGGGUUGGGUGACUGUUGACUGAUUGUCUGUCCCAGUGAAUGACUGAUUUAAAAAAGGACCUUUAAAAGCGGACAGCAGUAGUUUUGUAUGUGUAAGUGUGGUCGGGAGCAUGGUUAGUAGCAGAGACUCGCCCUCCUUGAAGGAGACUUUGGCAGCUGUGGGUCAGAGUGCACGUAAGAGUUUUUCCAGGAAAAUUCGAAGGCUUUCUCCAAGAUGACCUCUGUGUUUUUCCUUUGGGACCUGGGACUAAAGGAAUUUUACAUUUGGG
rnacentral:lncRNA from 1 species